AGCAUAUGGUAAAAUUAGAACUGAUAUGCUGACAGUCUUUCAGAGAGAGGGACAUAUUAUCUUUAUCUCCACACAGGGCAGAAAGAAUCUGAAGGCUUCUGAGUAACAUUAUAAAUAACACAAAAUAUUGGCAGUAUCAUUAGGGAAUUUAAAAAAUGAAACUGAAAAGCAGCAUUUGCAUGGAUUAUUUCUAUAUAAAUUCACUCUGGAAAUGUGGAAAGAAAAAGAAGUGAGAAAAAAACCAUUCUCUCUCCAGAGCAGUUGAUUUAAUAUUUGUUUGAAAUGUACUUUCCCUUCAUGCCCUUCUUUACUUGCCAUUGUAAAGCAGAGAAAUAAUAUAUACAUUGCUUUAUUUUCUGUCUUCUACCUUAGAGUUUGUACUUUAGUGUUUUCAGCACCAGAUUAUGCAGGUACUAUUUGUUUAUUACUUAGAAAAAGAUAACACAGUUCUUUAAUCCAUAAAUAUCAGACAGGUUCCUGAUUUUUUUUUUGUGUGCUCUCUUUCAACAGCACCCAGCAAAGUGCAAUUACUUUAUUUAUCCUUGAAAGACGGAGGAGUAAAAUGACCUUUUUGUGAUUUAAACCCAUGGUUCCAAAGAGUCUAGUCAUUUCAAACCUGAGAAUUAAGCAGUUGCUCUGGAAUGAACUUGAGAGAGAUAUUAUCACAAACUCUUUCCUUUUUUUUUUUUUGUUGCUUGCACAGAACACAUGCUACAAGCAAAAGUAGAUAAGCUCUUUAAAUUCCAACUGCGUCCUUCCAUAACUGAAUAGUACUAUUGGUAACUUCUGUAUGGACCAUAACAGUGUUAUCAGGAGCAGGAAACACUAACUGAAUGCAAUAGGUGCACACUUUUUUUCCUUUUCAAUUAUUGGAUGGAAACUUACUUGGUGAUAUUGUUUCUAACACCUUAACUUAGCUAGAAAUAAAUUCCUUAGAAGGACAUUCUUAGCCUCAUUUCUAAAAUUUCCUGUUAGUACUGAAAGACAUAGCAACCAAAACUUCAUGUUUAGAGUGUUGCUCAGAAGUUGUUAGAUUCUUUCUACCCUUUGUGGAAAUCAAGAUAAAUUUUAUCUCAUAGAGACUGUCAGCAUAUCUGACCUUCAUAUUAUCAUAUGCUCAUUAGACCUUUGUGUCUAUGGGAUUGUCCAGGUAGGAAAACAAAUAAUAGAAAUAUAAUUGACAUGCCCAUUUGUUGAUGGAAGAGUUGCUGUUGCUUUCAGUGGGCAUUUACUCUGAAUAAAGACUUAAGGAUUUGGUUCUUGUUUUGUUAACUGUUGUUGGAAAAGUGAAAUGUAUCAUAUAAAAGUAUAGUCUUAUUCAUUUUUACAUGAAUACCAGUGGUAGUUUGUUUAUAAAACUUCUAAAUCCAAGCCUCGUAAUCCCAUGAUACUUUCUACUACGUAUUAUGAAGGGGAAUAAGAUAGAAUUGAAAAGACCUCAUCUGUCAUUUGCCCUGCAUGCAGGCUAAACCCUGCAGAGGAUAAAAUAUAGGCAGUAGGAUUACUCAGGUGUGUCAUGGCUCUUAGUAUUGAUGUUAAUUUUGUGUAUGGUGGAGGCUUGGGGUUGGAUGGCUGGCUGCUGACUUUGGAUCUUUUGAGUAAGAAGAAUAUUUCUAGAUUGCGUGACUAGGUGCAACUAUCCAUGCACACAAAUGCACAUCCUUUGUGUGCUUCUAAAAGUUUUACCUUGAGUAAAGAAUCUGGCUCAAGCCAGAUUUAGAAAGUUGGUGUUAAACCCCUAAAAUUGAACCCAGCCCUUAUUACUGCCAUCCAAUGACCUGGCAGAAGGGUUUUACACUAUGUAAAACAUGUAUCAGUAAAAUAUAUAUGUCAGUAGAAAAGUUUGGUUGUCAGUAACUCUAAAAAUAUAAAUUAAUAUGUCUUCUGUAGCCCCUUCUUCCUUGGUUACCAACUACCUGUAAAUCUGUGAACAAUCUGUUAAAAAUAAGCCUGAAAACACUUGUCCAUAUAAUGCAUUAAAUAUUGUGUUGUCCAUAAUAACAGCAACAACAACAAUGAUGAUGACAAAAUUGUGAGCUUGAUUGAAUAUCCCUCAUUGGAAUAAGGCUGGAUGCAAGUGCUGAUGGACAGACAAAACAGAGAAGUACUACCUUAUGUCUGAGCAGUAGCACAGCUCGACACCCUGGAGCUCUCCACCAAGGCUUUGGGGCCCAUGGGAGCCUCCAUAGCAAAUUUCCCCCUCACACAGCCAUGUGCUGCUGCUGCAUCCCAAAAGCUAUCACCUGCCCAUAACAGCUGCUUGCCUCAAAGAUUGGCAGAGCCAUGCAGCCCCAGGCAAUCUGAGGCACCAGGUAGAAUGGGGGUGUGUUAUGCAAGGGUUGACAGUGUAUGUCUCAACAUACAACCACAAAACAGAAGGAUUCUGAGUAUGGUAAAAAUAAUUCUUAGAUGUAUAUAUUUUUGUACUUUAUAUUUCCUUGAUACAAUCCUUAUGUUAUGUAGGUUCAGUUGUAGUUAUGUUCUACUAUGGUUACUGUGUAUUCCUUCUUUGCAUACCCACUUUAGUAUGUCUGUUUUAGUGUUAGUGGGGAUUGGUCUUACUUCUGGUGGGGGGGGGGCGGUCACUUUGACUGACAUAGGUGGUAAACCCCCUUCCCCCUAGAUGGCAAUGCUGGGUGAGCCUUCUUUUUCAACAGACCCAGCUAGGUGGUAGCUCCCCUGGGUUGGCUUGCUAUAGAGACUGAGAUUAUUAACUACUUGAGUUUCACAUAAUAUUUAAUUAGCUAAAGUUUUCUUUGAUGUUGUACAUAUAUACCUUUUUCCCCAGUAAUGAGCCCAAUUUUAGUUGAACAUGGUUUGUGACUCAGGAAACUUUGUUCAUGUUACAACGCACAGUUACAUUUGUUUUCCUAGGUUUAUGGGAGGAGACUCCAUCUACAUUUAGAAAGUUGGUGUUAAAUUUUUCAGUUUGAACCCAGUCCUUGUUACUGUUGUCCAAGGGCCUGUUAGAGUUACAUUUACAUUAAAAAAAACCAUAUCAGUAGAAAAGUUUGGUUGUUAGUAAGAAGUUUGCAGAUUGUCAAUGAAUUUUUUUUUCUUAGGUUGGCAACACUGUUUCCUCCCACACAUAUAUAAUCUCUUUCUAUGGGAUUUUCUCCCAGUGGGCUAUAAAAGUAAACAGAUCAUGUAGAAAAGUCUAAAUGUUUGCAAAGUAACAUUUCAUAGGCUGUCUCUUUUUCAUUGAAAACAUAUGUAUGUGUAAAUAAGAAAUUUUUUACCCUCAUUUCAACAAAUAGUCUUGAAUAGUAAAUUUAGAGGAGUAACCAGUACACCUUUCUGAAAAAUAGAGACUUCUGACACCGGUAUUGAAUGUGGGUAUAAAACUAAAGAUGAUAUUCAUAGCUAUAUAGAGUUGUUUGAACAGAAUGGAAAAAUGGCUGCAUAAUUUGUCUAAUAAUGCAUAUACAUUGUUUUGUACUGAUGGGCUUUUGGUUAGUUACUGGAAUUGCAUAAAAUUCUCGGCUGCUUUAAAUUUAAUGAUUGAAAAAAAAAAUGUCUUCCUGCCCUUUAAAUGCACAGCUUUCAGAAGGGUUACAAUAAAUCUCUUAAUCUCCCCUAGCAUUUAUUUUCCUCUAGAUUGUUCACAGGCAUUAAUCCACAGGGCAUUCUUGCCCAAUCUGUAUUUAAAUCCAAGAAUGAAUAUCUGAGCUUUGAGCUAUCUGCUUUCAUGCACUCCUAAUGGGAUCCACCACAAGAACUCCGGAUGAAUCAGGGGAAAAAAAUCCAAUCCCAGAUGGUCGCGGUGCAGGCAGGAGAAAACUUCGCUUAAGUUGCAGUUACAAAACUCGUACGAACAAGACCCGUAGAAAAACUCGAGCCUCUUGAAAUAACUCGGAAAGAGCUCUGGAUACACACACGAAGUUUGCUAGGCUCCGUGGAACGAAAGCACGCAGGGAAGGGUUCGUCGAGGGAUUAGGCGGCGACGGGGAGAGGUUAGAGGUUGAUCAGGCCCCUAUAUUCUUCUUAAGGCACACGCUGGGUUUGUUAGGCUCCGCAGCGCUUGGAGUUCUUCACAAGAUGUGAAAUCCUCCUUCUCCUCCUCCAGAUGGUUGUGGAGUCCUCCCUUGCGGGGUUCUCCUUGGAGUUCUCCAACUUGGGCGGAAACCGCUCAAGCCUCUUAUACGGCUAGCAAGCCAAUCGCUAGCCGCCACGUGGGAAUAAUUUAGAAACAGCCAAUAGUGGGGAACAAAUAUGCAUGCGGGUGGCAGGAACUCCUUUGCACCGGGGUUUUCUCUUUGCAACUGAGAAUUGCACCGUGCAAAGAAAGCUCCUCGUGGCGGGAAAUAAUUCUGCAGUGCCGAAGCACACACAAAAUCAUACCCUUGGGUUAUGCCAAUACGAAGUUAUAAGUAGUCAUAGAUAAACUAAGUUCUUGUAUGCCAUUAUUGUGACAAGCCCUUUUUUAUAUUGUAAUUAGUGUUCAGGUAUUUUUGUAUCGAUUUUUACUGUUUUAUAUUGUAUUCCUAUUAUGUUUAUAUUGGUUUUUAUUGUUUUACAUUGAUAUUGUAUGAUUUAGGCCUGUUCCUGUAAGUUAACCAAAGUAAUGUCAACCCUCCAUCUUGUAAUGUUAAGUUUCCAUCUUGUAAUGUCAAGUCUCCAUUUUGUGUCCCCCACCUGGGCAUACCCUGUUGUAAUUGUGUUGCAACUAUGACUUAUACCUACACCUCCUAUGUAAAUUGGUUCCUGGGUGAAUGGGGAUGAAUGAGGGUGUUUGAGACAUAAUGGUAACAGGCCUAAAAAUACCUCCUGCUCAAUGACUGGACCAUCAAUUCAACAACUGGACUAUCAGCUUAACGACUGGACCACCGCUUUGCAUUGACUCUCCCUGAAACCACAGACCUACUCUGAGGAACCAAUAUUUGAAAGAUAAAGACCUUCAGGAAACCAGCAACAUAGAAACAAAGAACAGAAUAGAAACAAGAAACUCCACCAUUGUAUCCCACUGGACAAUGAGGACACCUGGAACUGCAUGUCCUCAUCUGAACAGCAUUGGCCCUUGCCUGGCCAUGUCCUACCCAUUGGAGUCGCAGGUAGCCCACCCCUAUAAAAGGGGUGGUUGAGUGUGACCUCCUUAAGAUGUCCUCUCCAUCUUCCCUCCAAGCAAGGGACCUGAGUUCUAUUUCUAUCCACCUUGACUCCAAUUCCUCUACUAAGCCCUUUUCCUCCUGCUACCAUUGUAUGAGUGUGUGUGGGAACCAAUAACUUCAUAGUCUGUAUAUUGUGUUGCCUGUCUAAUAAAACUGAUAUUUUUGGACCCCAA